AAAGAAUAACAAAGGAAGAAAAGAAAGAACAAGAACCCUAGGUGGAGAAUUUCAAGAGAAAAAGUGUGAAAAAUUAAGGAAAACAAGUGAAAUGGUAGGAUUUCUCAAUUUAAACUUGAAAUCUAUUUUCCUUAAGCAUUUCUCCUUAUUUUCCAUGGUUAAAUUUCAUGUUUUCAUGGUGAAUUCAUGGCUAGCCGAAUGGGUAUGGAGAGAAAGUGAUGUUGGAUUGAUUUGAUUUCAAGUUAUGUUAGUGUUUUUAGUUAGUUUACCAUGUCUAGAAGCAAAACAACAAGAAAAUAAUUCAUUUUCCCCAUCACCCAUCAAUGGCCGAACCUACCUUAUAUUGAGUGAGG
rnacentral:lncRNA from 1 species